UACGAAGGGUGCAAGCGUUAUUCGGAAUCACUGGGCGUAAAGGGUGCGUAGACGGUUUGUUAAGUUUGUCGUUAAAGACUCUAGCCUAACUGGAGGGUUGCGAUGAAAACUGGCGGACUAGAGGGUGAGAGAGAGAAGUGGAAUUCCUGGAGUAGCGGUAAAAUGCGCAGAUAUCAGGAGGAACACCGAUGGCGAAGGCAGGUCUCUGGGCCACUACUGACGCUGAGAAGCGAAAGCAUGGGGAGCGAACAGG
rnacentral:rRNA from 1 species